CUUUCUUUGCUGGCGACCGGCGCACGGGUGAGUAACACGUAUCCAACCUGCCCUUUACUCGGGGAUAGCCUUUCGAAAGAAAGAUUAAUACCCGAUAGCAUAAUGAUUCCGCAUGGUUUCAUUAUUAAAGGAUUCCGGUAAAGGAUGGGGAUGCGUUCCAUUAGGUCGUUGGUGAGGUAACGGCUCACCAAGCCUUCGAUGGAUAGGGGUUCUGAGAGGAAGGUCCCCCACAUUGGAACUGAGACACGGUCCAA
rnacentral:rRNA from 1 species